UUUUUUUCCUGGGUUGCUCUUGUCUUGGUUAGCACUCUGAUACUCUGAUGACAGAGUUCUGAGUAGUCUGCACUGACUUUGUUUUUUUGUCUAACAUUUUUUGAGGCAUGAUUUUUCAAAAAUGCAAUUUUUUUUCAGGUAUACAAAUGUCACUCUGUGGCAGAAACACCUCACUUGUUCAUGCUCAGGAAGGCCCUUCUAGCUGGGCAGCAUUGGUGCUGGAUGAGCUGUUCUAACAGGCUGGAAGUGUUGCAGGCAGAAGCAGGGAGCCCUUCUGUUUGGAAGGCUGUAGGUGCCCAGGAACUGGGUGAUCCCUGGGACAUCCAGAUCAACACUCACAAUCCUCUCAGUCAUUGCUCUGCUUCCCUCUCAGUUCCCCAAGUGAAGGCUCAAGGAGGGAAAGGAAAUUGACUUUAAGGAGGGUCUACUCUGCGCUAGGUCCUGGGCUGUGUACUCCACACAAUUACCUCCCUGAAUUUGGCCUGAUGGUUGUAGACUUUGGAGCUGGUAUAGAUUAAAAUUCUAGCUCUACCAUUUUCUAGAUGGUUGACCUUUGGCUUAAUCUCACUCACCAGACUUGAUUUCUGUACAUCUUGGUUUUCCCAUCUGUAACGUGGGGAUACAAAUAGGCCCCAGCUCUAGGGGCUGGGAUGAGGAUUCAGGGAUAUAUUAAUGCUCAUUGAAGUUGGCUGUUUUUACUUUUUUUGCAGUAUUGGGGAUCAAACUCAGGGCCUCACUAAUGCUAGGCAAGAGCUACAUUCCUAGCCUGGCUAUUCAUGCUUAAUGCUGAUGCUAAGAAUGCUGUGAAGUGGAUUUGUUUGGCCAAGAGAGGCUAAACUGUGUUCCCCAGUAGCUGCAAAAUGUGCUGGUUUAAUACAACAGGAUUUGCUCAGGGUACAAUGAGGUGGAUGUGGUCUAGGCUGAUGACAGCCCUGCCAGUCAAUCUGUGGUUCCCAUCUCUGAGUCUAAAUUUUUCUGUUUUGGUGGCUAGCAGAUUAGGGGAAAGAAUACCUGCAAAAGGUGUCCUCAGUAGGCUUAACUGUGUGACCUGGACCUGGAGCAUGUUAUUUCUGCUGGCUGCCAUUGGCCAGAAAUGAGUUACCUGGCUUUUGGUAUGAUUUGGAUAUGAGGUGUCUCCCCCAAAGCUCCUGUGUGAGUGCAGGAACAUUCAGAGGUUGAAAUGAUUAGAUGGUGAGAGCUGUAACCUAAUCAGUCUAUCAUACUUUGCAUGCACUGACUGGGUGGUAACUGUGGGCAGGUGGGGUGUGGCUGGAGGAGCUGGGUUCCUGGGGCCUGCCCUGGGAGAGUGCAUCUUGCUGCAGCCUCUUUGCCUCUCACUCUAUCUCUGCUUCCUAGCCACCUGGAAUGUUCCUUUGCUCUUCUGCACAACAUUCUGCCUCAGCGUGCUGCUGGUGCAACGUACUCAGUGGACCAUGAACGAAACCUCUGAAACCAUUAGCCCAAAUAAACUUUCCCUUUUCUAAGUUGUUCUUGUCAGGCAUUUUGGUCAUAGUGAUGCAAAACUAACUAACCCAGCCCUCUUAGCUUCAAGGAAGACCAGAAAUACAGCCUUUAGCUGAGUGGUCAUGUAUCUCUCUAGAAUUCCAUUACCAUAACAGAAAACCAGAACAUACUAAUGAGAAAUGUGCCAGGGGGCAGGUUUAUGACCUCCAUGUCACAACUGGGGAAGCCUGUUUAGAACCACAUAGCUAAUACUAAGUACAGUCAACUCUGUACACAUUCAACCAAUGACUAAUG
rnacentral:lncRNA from 1 species